rnacentral:rRNA from 1 species
GAUGAACGCUAGCAGAACGCCUAACACAUGCAAGUCGAACGAACCAGCAAUGGUUAGUGGCAAACGGGCGAGUAACGCGUAUCUAACCUACCCUUGAGUGAGGCACAACUACAGAGAUGUAGCUAAUUCCUCAUACGUUCUAGAGAAUGAAAAUAUCUAGAAGAAAGAUUUAUCGCUCAGGGAGGGGGGUGCGUCCUAUCAGGUAGUUGGUGAGGUAAUAGCUCACCAAGCCUAUGACGGGUAGCCGGUCUGAGAGGAUGUCCGGCCGCAAUGGAACUGAGAACGGUCCAUACUCCUACGGGAGGCAGCAGUGGGGAAUAUUGGACAAUGGGCGAAAGCCUGAUCCAGCGAUUCUGCGUGAAGGAUGAAGCCUUAUGGGGUGUAAACUUCUUUUCUGGGGGGAAGACGAAUGACGGUACCUCAGGAAUAAGAGACGGCUAACUACGUGCCAGCAGCCGCGGU